rnacentral:rRNA from 1 species
GUGUCAGCAGCCGCGGUAAUACGUAGGGGGCAAGCGUUGUCCGGAUUUAUUGGGCGUAAAGAGCGUGUAGGCGGCCUGGUAGGUCGGUUGUGAAAACUGGAGGCUUAACCUUCAGACGUCGACCGAAACCCUCAGGCUAGAGUCCGGAAGAGGAGAGUGGAAUUCCUGGUGUAGCGGUGAAAUGCGCAGAUAUCAGGAAGAACACCCGUGGCGAAGGCGGCUCUCUGGGACGGUACUGACGCUGAGACGCGAAAGCGUGGGGAGCGAACAGGAUUAGAAACCCGCGUAGUCC